rnacentral:tRNA from 1 species
GGCAGUGUGGUACAGUGGUUUGAGUGUUGGACUAGUAUGCUGGGAGACCAGGGUUCAAAUCCCUGCUCAGCCA